AUCCAACUGACGAGUCCCAGAUAAGACGAAACACGCGUCUUGGAU
rnacentral:hammerhead_ribozyme from 1 species